CUGGGAGGAAAGCUUCCCCUCAGACACCACAACUUGCAGAGAGAGACCCGCGCUCACAGCGCCAGAGAAGAGACACCUAUUAUUGGGAACGUGGAUCUAAACAGUGCCAAUGGACGGACUGUGUAUUCAGAGAUGCAUCAUCCAGAUCCCUCUUCAAGGAAGGACCUGCUGCCCAGCAGUGUCAGCAGACCACCUCCUGGCAGCUUUUCCAGAGUUGGCCUCUGCUGAAAAGAGCUGUUUCCCCUGAGGUUCCUCCCUUCCCAGGGCAGCCUGCCUCAGAAUCAGGCCCCUUGUGAAACUCGAGCACAGAGGCUCUCAGUGAGGUCAACACCACAAACCUGGGCUCUGCAUCAGGUAUUCAGGUAAACAAGAUGGCUGUUGCCAUUGUCAGCCCUCACUGCGUCUAACACCUG